AUAUAUAUGUAUAUAUAUGUGUUGAAAUGUGCUAUAGAAGUAAACUUAAAUAAUUGAUUGAACAGAAAUGAUUAAAAGAAGUGACCUUCCUGAUAAAAGAUUAAACAUUGCGGGUGAGAGAUACCAUCUUACUGUUGUUUCCUAAUUAAAGAAAGAUGUAUGAUAAACUAUUUAACUUUGAAAUAUUGAAUGAAAGUUACAAAAUAUAACUCAAAUAAAUUUGUUUUCUUGUUUCUGAAAAAAAAUCUGACCUUGUGUGCUUCAGAAACAAAAUGGAUUUCUCCUUUUGUUGUACCCCUCCUACUCUAUCAACAUGGUACAGUCCAUCAAGGCCAGGUGCAAGCCAUUAGUAUUAAUUGAACUUCUUUUGCGUGGAAGAAGAGGUAAGACUCAUACAGAAUCUCUUAAGACAUUUAAGUACAUAUUGAUUUGUAAUUCUGAAGAAUGUUGUAGGUUACUUGAUGUUUGGAUGCACCAAAGCAUCUGAUUUGCUUCAGUUUAGCUAGUUAUCACCAACCAUCUUAGUCAGUGUACCAGAGUUUAAAGGGAAGGUGGCUCACUCCAGAAUUAGACAAAACUGUAUUUGGACAUUUUCUGUGCAUCAGAGAUGUCAGCAACAAGGUCUCAGAGAGCAAAAAGAAAUCCCAAACAUGAUGCCAGCUAUUAUUCUCCUUGGGUGAAGAUAAAGAGGGAUUUGAUGUAAAAUACAUCAAUUCAUUUAAAGGUCGGGGUGUGUUCAGCUGCCAGUGCUUUCAAAAAGGAGAUUUCCUUAUUGAGUGCAGAGGGGAAGUCAUAAGUAGGAAGGAACAAGAAAACCGAUUGAAAAUUUACCAUGAUGCACUCCAGGCUUUUAUGUUUGAUUUCAAGUUCAAUGGACAACAGCUUUGAUUUCCAAAGAUGAAUUGUGUCAGGCUGGUGAUGUGGAAACAUGCGGAUCCUGUUCAACCAACCCUCCACAG